rnacentral:rRNA from 1 species
CCUACGGGAGGCUGCAGUGAGGAAUAUUGGUCAAUGGACGAGAGUCUGGACCAGCCAAGUAGCGUGAAGGAUGACUGCCCUAUGGGUUGUAAACUUCUUUUAUAUGGGAAUAAAAUGUUCCACGUGUGGGUUUUUGUAUGUACCAUAUGAAUAAGGAUCGGCUAACUCCGUGCCAGCAGCCGCGGUAAUACGGAGGAUCCGAGCGUUGUCCGGAUUUAUUGGGUUUAAAGGGUGCGUAGGUGGAUUGUUAAGUCAGUUGUGAAAGUUUGCGGCUCAACCGUAGAAUUGCAGUUGAAACUGGCAGUCUUGAGUACAGUAGAGGUGGGCGGAAGUCGUGGUGUAGCGGUGAAAUGCUUAGAUAUCACGAAGAACUCCGAUUGCGAAGGCAGCUUACUAGACUGCGACUGACACUGAGGCUCGAAAGUGUGGGUAUCAAACAGGAUUAGAUACCCGUGUAGUC